CCUACGGGAGGCAGCAGUGGGGAAUAUUGCGCAAUGGGCGAAAGCCUGACGCAGCGACGCCGCGUGAGGGAUGAAGGUCUUCGGAUCGUAAACCUCUGUCAGCAGGGAAGAACGGUCACUGUGCUAAUCAGCAGUGAAUUGACGGUACCUGCAAAGGAAGCACAGGCUAACUCCGUGCCAGCAGCCGCGGUAAUACGGAGGGUGCGAGCGUUAAUCGGAAUUACUGGGCGUAAAGCGCUCGUAGGCGGUAUGUCAAGUCAAGGGUGAAAUCCCCGCGCUCAACGUGGGAACUGCCUUUGAAACUGGCAAACUGGAGUGUGUGAGAGGAUAGUGGAAUGCCAGGUGUAGGAGUGAAAUGCGUAGAGAUCUGGAGGAACAUCAGUGGCGAAGGCGACUAUCUGGCACAUAACUGACGCUGAGGAGCGAAAGCGUGGGUAGCAAACAGGAUUAGAUACCCCUGUAGUC
rnacentral:rRNA from 1 species